GAUGAACGCUGGCGGCGUGCUUAACACAUGCAAGUCGAACGAUGAAGCCCAGCUUGCUGGGUGGAUUAGUGGCGAACGGGUGAGUAACACGUGAGUAACCUGCCCUUAACUCUGGGAUAAGCCUGGGAAACUGGGUCUAAUACCGGAUAGGAGCGUCCACCGCAGGGUGGGUGUUGGAAAGAUUUAUCGGUUUUGGAUGGACUCGCGGCCUAUCAGCUUGUUGGUGAGGUAAUGGCUCACCAAGGCGACGACGGGUAGCCGGCCUGAGAGGGUGGCCGGCCACACUGGGACUGAGACACGGCCCAGACUCCUACGGGCGGCAGCAGUGGGGAAUAUUGCACAAUGGGCGCAAGCCUGAUGCAGCGACGCCGCGUGAGGGAUGACGGCCUUCGGGUUGUAAACCUCUUUCAGUAGGGAAGAAGCGAAAGUGACGGUACCUGCAGAAGAAGCACCGGCUAACUACGUG
rnacentral:rRNA from 1 species